GACGUAGGGUGCGAGCGUUGUCCGGAUUUAUUGGGCGUAAAGAGCUCGUAGGCGGCUCGUCGCGUCGACCGUGAAAACCCGCAGCUUAACUGCGGGCUUGCGGUUGAUACGGGCGGGCUAGAGUUCGGUAGGGGAGACUGGAAUUCCUGGUGUAGCGGUGAAAUGCGCAGAUAUCAGGAGGAACACCGGUGGCGAAGGCGGUUCUCUGGGCCUUACCUGACGCUGAGGAGCGAAAGCGUGGGGAGCGAACAGG
rnacentral:rRNA from 1 species